ACAGAAAGGAAAAGCUACAUGUGGUCUACCUUUUGUUUUUCUCUGGUUCUCAGCCUAUCAAAGUGUCAAAUCCUCCUGUCGCUAUGAAGGUUCUUCUCGUCUCUUGUAUCUGCUUUCAGCUCCUCCUUGCUGUUUUCUUCAGUGCAGCUUCUUCAACAGGUGAUGUUUCAAACCAAGAGUGGAUGAAAGAACAACUACAAAACAUAUCACAACAGCUGGAUAAAUUUUGGAGAGAACUGGAUAUGCUAAACGGCAACUACAGCUUUAGGAGAUCGGUUUCCAUAGGUGAUUUAAUUUGUAUUGUUUUGGCAAUAUUUAUACUGUUACAUCAAAAAG